rnacentral:misc_RNA from 1 species
GAUGAAGAACGUAGCGAAAUGCGAUAAGUAGUGUGAAUUGCAGAAUUCAGUGAAUCAUCGAAUCUUUGAACGCACAUUGCGCCCCUUGGUAUUCCAUGGGGCAUGCCUGUUCGAGCGUCAUUUGUACCUUCAAGCUAUGCUUGGUGUUGGGUGAUUGUCUAUCUUUUUAGACUCGCCUUAAAGUCAUUGGCAGCCGGCAUAUUGGCCUGGGAGCGCAGCACAAGUCGCGCUUCUUGUCAUGAAUGUUGGCGUCCAGUAAGUCUACAUAUUUUGCUCUUGACCUCGGAUCAGGUAGGGAUACCCGCUGAACUUAAGCAUAUCAAUAAGCGGAGGA